rnacentral:rRNA from 1 species
GGAUCCAGACUUUGAUUAUGGCUCAGGAUGAACGCUAGCUACAGGCUUAACACAUGCAAGUCGAGGGGAAACGAUAUUGGAAGCUUGCUUCCGAUAGGCGUCGACCGGCGCACGGGUGAGUAACGCGUAUCCAACCUGCCCACCACUUGGGGAUAACCUUGCGAAAGUAAGACUAAUACCCAAUGAUAUCUCUAGAAGACAUCUGAAAGAGAUUAAAGAUUUAUCGGUGAUGGAUGGGGAUGCGUCUGAUUAGCUUGUUGGCGGGGUAACGGCCCACCAAGGCGACGAUCAGUAGGGGUUCUGAGAGGAAGGUCCCCCACAUUGGAACUGAGACACGGUCCAAACUCCUACGGGAGGCAGCAGUGAGGAAUAUUGGUCAAUGGGCGAGAGCCUGAACCAGCCAAGUAGCGUGCAGGAUGACGGCCCUAUGGGUUGUAAACUGCUUUUAUAAGGGAAUAAAGUGAGUCUCGUGAGACUUUUUGCAUGUACCUUAUGAAUAAGGACCGGCUAAUUCCGUGCCAGCAGCCGCGGUAAUACGGAAGGUCCGGGCGUUAUCCGGAUUUAUUGGGUGUAAAGGGAGCGUAGGCCGGAGAUUAAGCGUGUUGUGAAAUGUAGACGCUCAACGUCUGCACUGCAGCGCGAACUGGUUUCCUUGAGUACGCACAAAGUGGGCGGAAUUCGUGGUGUAGCGGUGAAAUGCUUAGAUAUCACGAAGAACUCCGAUUGCGAAGGCAGCUCACUGGAGCGCAACUGACGCUGAAGCUCGAAAGUGCGGGUAUCGAACAGGAUUAGAUACCCUGGUAGUCCGCACGGUAAACGAUGGAUGCCCGCUGUUGGUCUGAAUAGGUCAGCGGCCAAGCGAAAGCAUUAAGCAUCCCACCUGGGGAGUACGCCGGCAACGGUGCAACUCAAAGGAAUUGACGG